GACGAACGCGGGCGGCGUGCUUAACACAUGCAAGUCGAGCGGUAAGGCCCUUUCGGGGGUACACGAGCGGCGAACGGGUGAGUAACACGUGGGUGACCUGCCCUCAGCUCUGGGAUAAGCCUGGGAAACCGGGUCUAAUACUGGAUAUGACUCCAUGACGCAUGUUGUGGGGUGGAAAGCCUUGUGCGGCUGAGGAUGGGCCCGCGGCCUAUCAGCUUGUUGGUGGGGUGANGGCCUACCAAGGCGACGACGGGUAGCCGGCCUGAGAGGGCGACCGGCCACACUGGGACUGAGACACGGCCCAGACUCCUACGGGAGGCAGCAGUGGGGAAUCUUGCGCAAUGGGCGAAAGCCUGACGCAGCGACGCCGCGUGAGGGAUGACGGCCU
rnacentral:rRNA from 1 species